AGGUUUCAGAUGUGACUUCUGUCACCCCACUGAUCACCAGGUUGAUUUGGCUGACCUGGCUGGCUAGGGAGGUGUCCCCUUUGUCCCUCCCAGAGCGUGCACUGGGUCGUAGAGAAUGACCUUCCCUGAGAGAGAAGCACUGGUCUUUGGUCCAGGGUACGAGAGUGGCUGCACUCCCCUGUUAGAACCUCCUAACAAGCUCUCAGGGAGAAGAUUUCAUUAGCAUGCUUUUUAUGCAUUUGAUCCCUUCUCUCUCUCUCUCUCUCUUUUUUUUUUUGACAGAGUAGACAGUGAGCGUGA
rnacentral:snRNA from 1 species